GAGAAAGGUUAAAAAUUGACUUCUUAACUUGACAGUGUGAGUGUUACAGUUAUUCUCCUUCUUCUGAUGCGGCCAAGGACAAGUGUCAAAGUUUUGGUAACAACAGCAACCCAAAUGGACUAAGACAAACACCCACCAGGACCAAGACAUCAUUUUCAU